AUGAAUCACAUCACUAAAUAUUUCACAAAGCUGUUCACAUCGGAAGUUCAGCAUCCGAAUCAAGAAGUUUUAUCACUUGUGCGUAAGAGAGUGUCAAACGAAAUAAACAAUGCUCUACUUGCUCCUUAUACCGUGAAAGAUGUCCGCAAGGCUUUAUUUGAUACUGGAGACUUGAAAGCUCCAGGACCAAAUGGACUCCACGUUAUCUUCUAUAAAAGGUUCUGGCCGAUGCUAGGGGAAGACCUAAUUGAGGAGGUUCUGAAAGCAAUCAACACAUGUACUAUCCCAAAUGGUUGGAAUGAUAUUACAAUCGUGAUGAUUCCUAAGAUUAACACACCAGAAAAGGUAUCCCAAUUUAGGCCAAUUAGCUUAUGUAAUGUGGUAUACAAAAUAAUUGCAAAAAUGGUGGCCUCUUGAUUGAAGAACCUUCUACCAAAAAUUAUUAGUCCAACACAAAAUGCUUUUGUACCAAGUAGAUUGAUAACGGAUAAUAUUUUAGUGGCCUACGAAUGUUUUCACACAAUCAAGAAUAAAAGAGAGGGUAGAGAGGGCUUGUGUGCUAUAAAACUUGACAUGCACAAAGCUUACGAUAGAGUCGAGUGGGCUUUUCUAAAGGAGAUUAUGCUGAAAAUGGGUUUCCUUCAAGAGUGGGUUAAUUUGAUUAUGCAAUGUGUCACAACAGUAGAAUACAAAGUACGGAUAAAUGCAGAGGAAAGUGAGAGUUUUAAGCCUAUUAGAGGGUUGAGAGGGGACCCGCUAUCACCAUACCUAUUCCUGUUGUGCAUGAAAGGGUUGAAUGCCUUGCUCUCGCAUCCUGAGGAGAACGGGAACAUAUCAGAAGUUAAAGUCUAUAGAGAUGCCCCACGAGUAACUAAUCUCCUCUUUGUGGAUGACUCGUUGAUCUUGAUGAAAGCCAACCAACAUAAUGCGGCCCUAAAAUCAGCACUAGAUUUAUAUUGCGCGGCGUCGGGACAACUGGUAAGCGUGGAAAAGUGUGGUAUUUUCUUUAGCCCCAAUACAAAGGUAGAGGUCGGAUAACACUUGUGUACAAUGCUCAAUAUAAUGAUGGAGGCCCUGAAUGACAAAUACUUGGGCUUGCCAGCAAAUGUGGGUGUUGAUAAAAUAGACUACUUUAAAUUUCUAAUUGAACAUAUUGUUAAGAAAAUUAGUGUUUGGAAGAAAAAACUACUAUCUGCCGGGGGGAAGGAGAUCCUGCUCAAGGCUGUGAUCCAAGCCAUACCUACAUAUGCAAUGUCGGUCUUUCAAAUUCCUAAAAAACAUUGUAAAGGAAUCAUUGACGCAAUAACACAUUUCUGGUGGGGAGACGAGGAGAACCAGAGGACGAUGCACUAG
rnacentral:rRNA from 1 species